UUACUGCAGGUCUAGCAUAACUUACAUCCGCGAGAAGGACCGCGACUCGAGUCGACAUUCCCGCAGCUGUCAAAUUUGUCGAUUUCCGUAGCACAACUGACACCCGCGACUGCAACAGUCGCGUAGAGAACUCAAAGUCGCGGCGCGACUAGUCAGUGUUCCCCGAUGAAAUCAAAGUGAAAAAAUAAUUGUUAUUUACAUGUGACAACACUGAAUCGGAAACAGGGUUGCGCUAUUUCAUUCGUUCUUCGGUGGUAAAAAUCAAGUUUUUUGUCGAUGGUUAUGUUUUCCUGUCAAAGUCAAGGAAAUUUCAAAUUUUGUCAACAUUUUAUUACGAGAAUAUAUAUGGAAAAUAUAAUAAGUCCUGCAUUAUCCCAAACAUCCAAUGGAAGCUAUUGUUAACAGGAAGAUGAUAUCGAGAUCUCAAGUGGAUAGUCAGAAAACACUAGGCAAGAAGGUAUCAAAGGCGGGGCUGUCUCCGCGCUAAGCAAGGCUCCUAAGUCUGAGGAGAAAGAGGUAGUACUAACCUAACUUAUGAUCGCAGUCACUGUAUCUUCUUUUUUUUACUAAAUUAGGUAUAAAUAAAUAGUAUUAUCGGGAUACGUAUGAGUGUAAGAAUUACCAAUUUCUCUCGAAUCUCCCGUCAUGCAAUCGUAUUAAAGUAAAAGCAAGCAACACCUGACUGGCGUCCUACCUCGGAUCCUAAAUUAUUUGUUCCUGAUUACUGCAGUCAGACUCAUACUAAAUUCGAUUACAUUUUUACGAUUUAGGAUCCUGAAGUAAGUAGGAUGUGUGAGCGCUUUAGCCCUUUGAAUCCCAAGAUCUCUUACAGAACACUUGUUUUGUGUUGUAGGUUUAUUUGUGCCAAUAACGUGUGUUUUCAUAAGUAUAGCUAUUUUAAAUUUGACAAAUGAAGAUAAAAAGCUUAUUUCAUAGUUAGUCAAAAUAAUUUCUUGUUUUGUUAACAAACCGAUUCUCUUUCCAAGGUGAUCUGAUUGUACUACGCCGCAUGUCGAAGAAAAAGAAAAAUUGAAAAUAUGUAGAAGAUGCUUAAACUAUUUUUUAGUGUACCUCUAGAAGAUUUUGAUAUAAGUUGCAAUAAUAUAUACUCUGAAUUUAAA